GAGUUUGAUCGUGGCUCAGAUUGAACGCUGGCGGCAUGCCUUACACAUGCAAGUCGAACGGCAGCACGGGAGCUUGCUCCUGGUGGCGAGUGGCGAACGGGUGAGUAAUGCAUCGGAACGUAUCCUGGAGUGGGGGAUAACGUAGCGAAAGUUACGCUAAUACCGCAUAUUCUGUGAGCAGGAAAGCGGGGGACCUUCGGGCCUCGCGCUCUUGGAGCGGCCGAUGUCGGAUUAGCUAGUUGGUGAGGUAAAGGCUCACCAAGGCGACGAUCCGUAGCAGGUCUGAGAGGAUGAUCUGCCACACUGGAACUGAGACACGGUCCAGACUCCUACGGGAGGCAGCAGUGGGGAAUUUUGGACAAUGGGGGCAACCCUGAUCCAGCCAUGCCGCGUGAGU
rnacentral:rRNA from 1 species